CUUUUCUUGUUAGUUUUUGAAGUAUGGCCUGCCCACUGACUUGGAGUUGAAGGGCCGCGGUAUUUUGACCGUGCAAAGGUAGCAUAAUCAUUAGUUCUUUAAUUGUGAUCUGGUAUGAAUGGCUUGACGAGACAUAAGCUGUCUUGGGGGUAUUGGUUUAUUGAAUUUGGUUUUUGAGUUAAAAUUCUUAGAUGUUUUUAUGGGACGAGAAGACCCUAUAGAGUUUGACAAUUUUCUUAUUUAUUCAUUGUUUGUUUUAUUUAUAUUGAGUGGGAAUAGAUUGUUUUGUUGGGGUGAUGGGAGGAAUAUUAUUUAACUCCUCUUUGUUUUUAUAUAUUUAUGUAUAUGUUUUUGAUCCAUUUAUUUUGAUUAUAAGAUUAAAUUACC
rnacentral:rRNA from 1 species